rnacentral:RNase_P_RNA from 2 species
GACAGAUGGAAAGCUGCGAGGCUCGCCCCGUACAGGAUAAUGACUUUGUUUCAUAAUCUACAUUUGCGAGCGGGCUAAGGUCUGAGCAUUCUAAUCAUUCUUGACUGAUCCUAGCAGGAUCCAGCUGUAACCAGCUGAGCAGCGUAUCAGAAAUCCGACUUGUCCCGCUUAUCCACUCGUUUUGGAGGCCCUAAGAUUGCUUUCGGGCAGGAGGGCAUGGCGGGACGUAGCCUUGGAACUCGCUGUAAUGAUUGGGUGGCCAUGUAUUUUCAUAGCCAUCCUUCAGCUCACUUCGCAGCGCAUGUUAUGGGUUCCGAAAGGGCUCACAUGCAACUCGAUUCAGACUACUCUUCGUCUGUC